rnacentral:rRNA from 1 species
UCCUACGGGAGGCAGCAGUGAGGAAUAUUGGUCAAUGGACGCAAGUCUGAACCAGCCAUGCCGCGUGCAGGAUGACGGCUCUAUGAGUUGUAAACUGCUUUUGUACGAGGGUAAACGCAGAUACGUGUAUCUGUCUGAAAGUAUCGUACGAAUAAGGAUCGGCUAACUCCGUGCCAGCAGCCGCGGUAAUACGGAGGAUUCAAGCGUUAUCCGGAUUUAUUGGGUUUAAAGGGUGCGUAGGCGGUUUGAUAAGUUAGAGGUGAAAUUUCGGGGCUCAACCCUGAACGUGCCUCUAAUACUGUUGAGCUAGAGAGUAGUUGCGGUAGGCGGAAUGUAUGGUGUAGCGGUGAAAUGCUUAGAGAUCAUACAGAACACCGAUUGCGAAGGCAGCUUACCAAACUAUAUCUGACGUUGAGGCACGAAAGCGUGGGGAGCAAACAGGAUUAGAUACCCUGGUAGUCCACGCAGUAAACGAUGAUAACUCGUUGUCGGCGAUACACAGUCGGUGACUAAGCGAAAGCGAUAAGUUAUCCACCUGGGGAGUACGUUCGCAAGAAUGAAACUCAAAGGAAUUGACGGGGGCCCGCACAAGCGGAGGAACAUGUGGUUUAAUUCGAUGAUACGCGAGGAACCUUACCCGGGCUUGAAAGGUAGCGACGAUUCUUGAAAGAGGAUUUCCCUUCGGGGCGCGAAACUAGGUGCUGCAUGGUUGUCGUCAGCUCGUGCCGUGAGGUGUCGGGUUAAGUCCCAUAACGAGCGCAACCCCUACCGUUAGUUGCCAUCAGGUGAAGCUGGGCACUCUGGCGGGACUGCCGGUGUAAGCCGAGAGGAAGGUGGGGAUGACGUCAAAUCAGCACGGCCCUUACGUCCGGGGCUACACACGUGUUACAAUGGGGGGUACAGAAGGCAGCUACCUGGUGACAGGAUGCUAAUCCCAAAAGCCUCUCUCAGUUCGGAUCGAAGUCUGCAACCCGACUUCGUGAAGCUGGAUUCGCUAGUAAUCGCGCAUCAGCCAUGGCGCGGUGAAUACGUUCCCGGGCCUUGUACACACCGCCCGUCAAGCCAUGGGAGCCGGGGGUACCUGAAGUGCGUAACCGCGAGGAGCGCCCUAGGGUAAAACUGGUGACUGGGGCUAAGUCGUAACAAGGUAGCCGUACCGGAAGGUGCGGCUG